rnacentral:rRNA from 1 species
AUUGAACGCUGGCGGCGUGCCUAACACAUGCAAGUCGAGCGGUAACAGGUGUAGCAAUACAUGCUGACGAGCGGCGGACGGGUGAGUAACGCUUGGGAAUCUGCCUGUUAGUGGGGGACAACCCGGGGAAACUCGGGCUAAUACCGCAUACGCACUACGGUGGAAAGCCGGGGACCGCAAGGCCUGGCGCUAACAGAUGGGCCCAAGUCGGAUUAGCUAGUUGGUAGGGUAACGGCCUACCAAGGCGACGAUCCGUAACUGGUCUGAGAGGACGACCAGUCACACCGGAACUGAGACACGGCCCGGACUCCUACGGGAGGCAGCAGUGGGGAAUAUUGGACAAUGGGCGAAAGCCUGAUCCAGCGACGCCGCGUGGGUGAAGAAGGCCUGCGGGUUGUAAAG